GUUUGCAAACACAAAAUUCAGUGGGAAAGUUAUAGGUAUUGAUGUGGACUUGGAUGAUGUUUUAAAAGACCUAGAACAAAAGGGUCUUGGAGAAAAAAUUUAUUCAGAACCUGCGGAACUGUUUGCAAACACAAAAUUCAGGGGGAAAGUUAUAGGUAUUGAUGUGGACUUGGAUGAGGUUUUAAAAGACCUAGAACAAAAGGGUCUUGGAGAAAAAAUUUAUUCAGGACCUAAGAAACCAAACAUCAUUGCUGAUAAAAUACUACGCGGUAAACAUGUUUCGAUAAUUUCUGGCAAAAAGGAAAAAUCAAACAAUCAAAAAAAACGCAGUAAAGAUGACAAUGGUGAGAAACAGAGGCCAGUAUCACCACUGGCAAUGCAUAAGUCCGGGAAAUACGGUA